rnacentral:rRNA from 1 species
GAGCGUAGGGCGCGAGCGUUGUCCGGAUUUAUUGGGCGAAAGAGCUCGUAGGCGCUUGUCGCGUCGUCCGUGAAAACCUGGGGCUCACUCCAGGCUUGCGGUCGAUACGGGCAGGCUCGAGUUCGGUAGGGGAGACUGGAAUUCCGUGGUGAGCGGUGAAAUGCGCAGAUAUCAGGAGGAACACCAUGGCGAAGGCAGCUCGCUGGGACGGUACUGACGCUGAGACGCGAAGCUGGGGAGCAAACAGG